rnacentral:rRNA from 1 species
GACAAACGCUGGCGGAAUGUAUUAGGCAUGCAAGUCGUACGAACCUUCGGGUUAGUGGCGAACGGGUGAGUAACACGUGGGUAACCUGCCUCGUAGUGGGGAAUAACUCGCCGAAAGGCGAGCUAAUACCGCAUAACACCCCCGGUGAGAAUCCGGGUGGUAAAAGCUCCGGCGCUACGAGAGGGGCCCGCGGCCGAUUAGCUAGUUGGUGGGGUAAUAGCCUGCCAAGGCGACGAUCGGUAGCUGGUCUGAGAGGAUGGUCAGCCACACGGGGACUGAGAUACGGCCCCGACUCCUACGGGAGGCAGCAGCUAAGAAUCUUGCGCAAUGGGCGAAAGCCUGACGCAGCAAUUCCGCGUGGGGGACGAAGGCCCCUCGGGUCGUAAACCCCCUUUUGUGAGGGAAGAAGUUCUGACGGUACCUCACGAAUAAGACACGGCUAACUACGUG